rnacentral:rRNA from 1 species
UACGGAGGGAGCUAGCGUUGUUCGGAAUUACUGAGCGUAAAGCGCACGUAGGCGGCGAUUCAAGUCAGAGGUGAAAGCCCGGGGCUCAACCCCGGAACUGCCUUUGAAACUAGAUCGCUAGAAUCCUGGAGAGGUUAGUGGAAUUCCGAGUGUAGAGGUGAAAUUCGUCGAUAUUCGGAAGAACACCAGUGGCGAAGGCGACUAACUGGACAGGUAUUGACGCUGAGGUGCGAAAGCGUGGGGAGCAAACAGG